GCCACCAAAGCAGAGCAAGUGAACUGAACCACUAGGCCAUGGGGCCAGCCUUUGAUUUUUUUUUUUAAGUAAAUACCUAACUAACUGGUAGAACUCUUCUGAAACAUCGUGCUUAUCCUAUCUAGACUUCUGAGAAGAAGGAUGUAUUGAUGCUGCUUGGUACUUGGGUUGCACAGGAAAGUUGUUUCUGCCGAAGGAGGUUAAGGCUGGGCCCAAGACAGACUGCAGGGUGCAGGAGGGAAGGAACUCUGGGCCCCUGAGCCCUUGUCAUGAGGUUUUAGUAAAUGUAUGGAGGAAUCAGUGAGGGCAACAGAGGAAAAACUGGUGGAGGAAAAGAGGAGAGGGAGAAGGAAAGAGAGAUUGAUCGAUCAAUCGAUUGACUGAUUCUGGGUAGGCUACACAGAUCAAUGGAGCAUGCAGUUUGAAGCUGGGCUGACAUGGUCUGUCAGCGCCCUGCUUGGAGGCCAAAGGCACAUCACUUCACCUCUCCCAGCCCCAGUCUCCCCAUCUCAAUCUGCGAUGGUUGUAAGGACACUUGAAGACUCCAGUGUGUGCAGUGUAUGUGGCAUCCUGCUGUGUGCGCCCAUGCGUGAGCUCACAGGGCUGUGGCUGGUACAGCUGUGCGUGUUCUGCCAACAAGCUCACCUCACAUCCUCUCUCAGGACCUCCCAGAAUUCUCAGGAAGGUGACGGGGAGGGAAACACUGACUGGAGAGAACUGUUGGCUCUGGACCUUCUGGUCUUUUGCCCUCACAGGAGCCAAUGACUCAAGACUAUUCCUAGUCUGUGGACCUCUCAAUAAUCUAAGUUCUGUCUGGAUAUCAAAUUGGACCAUCUGAAGAUUAUGGAAACCACUCCUGCAUCCGCUUUAAAACAGUUAUCAGGGAAAGCGACCUUGCACAACACCCCACGUAAAAAAAAAAUCAAAAAAAAUUGUUUAGAACUUAGAGCUGGGAAAAUCCUGUCUUCCUUGAGAACAGCUGGUUCUUCUCUUCUGACAAGUGUGUGUGACUUCUGGGAAGCCCGUCAGCCAUGGCUGGUAGACCUGGUGACCUCAUGUCACUUAUGCAAAGAGAUGGAACAAAAAAUAAGCAGGUACACAGAUCACUAAGAUUCAUGUGGGUCAGAGAUGAAUCAUUAGCAUAGUAAAGACAUACAUAGAAACAAGUGACAUUAGAGCAGCCUUCUCAAACAGAGGCGGACGCUGUCCCAUCCGGGAGCAUAUCUGAAUCUAGGAGGCGCUUUGCUCCCAGAGAAUCCCCUGCAGGGAGAAGUCUGCGCCUGUGACUCAUGCAGCCACAGACAGAAGCUUUCAAGCCCCUUUUUGGAGGAAGAGUGGAUUCUUGACACAGAAUCCCUGCCAGUGAGCACUGGGAUGAGAAGAGAGGCCACAGCUCUUCUUCGGCUUGGAGAUUAGUGCUGAAACGAGGUUUUGAGGAAAAUGAAGAGAAGACUCCAUGGAAGAGGAGAUGGAUCCGGGCCCAGACCUCCCCUCCCCACUGGCCGCAGAUCAAGAAACUCAGGUGUUGAUGGGGUGAGCUCUUUGCCCGAGGCUCAUAGCAAAUGCAGGAGCUGAGGUUCAAACCCAGACAGUCUUGUUCCACAGCCCGCGGGGCUCAAGGAGAUGCUGGAUGGAGACCUGCAAACCCUCUGGGUCUGGAGAACGGAAGGACAAGGCUCCAGGGAAGAUGGCCCAGAGAGAGUAGACACCAAGGGGCUUGCUCAGCCUGCCCCUGAGAGGAAACGUGGGUCCUCUACAAAUGGCACCCAGGGGCUCAACAGUCACUUGGAAGUGAAGGUGAGACUGCUCAGCCCCAGGAGGGCAUGGACUCCUCCGUCUGUUGGGUUCCCCUGAACACACGAAAUGUGCGGUUCCCUGGGCUGCACAAGGUACAAGGUGGAUGGAUAGCAGGUGUCACCAUCCACGAGGAUCUCCACAGCGAGCAGCACAGGCUUCACUGCUGCAGGAGGGCCUGGCUGGUGGGCAUCAGAGCAGGGGCUGCCUGUCCUGCCCGCCACAACCCCAUCCCACAGACCUGUGGGCAGGGGCAAGGGUGGGUUCUUGUUGGACUUCUCUUUUCUCUGUCACUUCUGGGGCAACAGGGAAGAAGGGACCUUCUCCAAGAUGCUGCCCUCCCCACACUGAAGGUCUUGCCUUUCUUGGCUUCACCCUUCUCUCCCACCCCGCCGACUGUUUAGGUGGACAGUUAACUCCCCUAGAGUGUAAGGAAAGAUGCCACAGGCCUAGCUCCACAAUUGAGGUAAAUCACAAAGAUGGUCUCCUGUUCCCACUUCGUUUGGCUGCCUGUUCACUGGGUUCCAGAACCCUCCUCACUCUUCAUCUUCAAGUCCUUUCUUCUGGGCCUGACACUUUUUGUUUCACAUGGUUCUCUGCACAAGUCCUUUCUGUGCUCGCCCUGUGGCCUGCAGUCACUGCUGCUGUCCAUGUAGUCCCCACCCCCUCAGCAGCUCAGAUGAGGAGCCAAGCCAGCACCGCUCCUUUUCCUCCACCUUCCGCCCCUCAGAAGUGAUUUCCACGGACUGUGGUCUCUCCACUCAUUGCCUGGCCUGGUUUCUGCCACCAUCUCUCACACUAAAGCCACUGUGGUACCCAACAAAUCUCCCAACAGUAUUUCUGCCCCAGCUGAUGGCCUCGCCCUCCUGCCCUAGCUGGAAUCAUCCCACCACCCCAUACACACACCAGGUUCUCAAUAUACACCCAACACAUUCACGUUAAUUAUUCAUGACUCUGUGCUUUGAGUUACAGAAAUCUAGUUCUGGUAAUUAGCUCAAGAAAUGAGAGGAAUUUGUUUUAACAAUAUGGAGUCUCUCUGGGAACCAGUGAUCUUUCCUCAAACACAUGACGGAAUUACAAAUGUCCCAUUCCAUUGUCACACAUAAACCCAAAUUUGAGGCAGUUCCUCAGGCUCUAGGCACUUUGGGAGGAGAAAGGCGUUGGGCCUCUCCAUAUAUAAUGCAUGAUGGCCCCACUGGAUGCACCAUCUUUGCCUGUGGAGUAGGCUAAGCAGGAAGGCUUGACCUGGACCUUUUCUCUGCUGGGGUCAGAUACAUUGGCAGUUGGCUGUUGUAGGAGGGAAUUUGCCAAGACAUGGCCAUGAGGAAAAUCACGCCUGACAACAAGCAUGAAGAAGGCCACCAGAGCUUCUCGAGAGUAGGUCAAACUAAACUGUGGGUGCAGCUUUUGGUUUUGCCAUUCAUAAUCCAUUCAGCCUUCCCUCAUUUUCCUCCGGGGAACCAUCCUGAUCCACGGCAGCCAGCCUACGUGCUUCAUGCAAAUUUACUCUGCCCAGUGGUUGCCCUGCAGGAGGGGGUGGGGCAGCUGGAGCACCGCAAACUCCUGGCCACAGCCUUGGUUGGAUUAGCAAUGGGUACAGGACCCAACUAGAGCCACUGAGGUGCAAUGAGACUUCUGCCGGGACUUUGGGGAGAGAGGCAUUCUCUCUUUUUCAAUAAACUUGAACCUGGAGGAUGCUGCUCUAUAGCUGCUGGCAGUCAUCUGACAACUGUAUAGAGCCUGAGAAGGAAGUCGACAUGGAGAACAGAGCAGAGAUGGAGAGAGACUGGGUGCCAGUGAUAUUUGAUCCCAUGUAUCUAGCCAUAUACGUCAGCUGGUAAAUUCUCUUUUUGGCUUAAACCAAUUUGAUUUGGGUUUUCUGUCAUUUGCAACCAAAACACCAAUCCACAAACUUAGACUUUAUCUCCAAUCCUAGACAGGUUCUUCUUUUAGAAUUACUUGCACAAUAUUUGCUAAGUUUUACCCUUCAGUAACAAUGAUUACUGCAUUAAUUAGAUUCGAUUACAGUAGAGCAUUAAAAAUAACUUACACAUUUGUUCUAAUGUUAACCAUCUCAACAUAUUUUUCCACAACAGAAUUGUCUAAAAUGUAGCAAAAACAAUACAAGAAACUGUUGGGGAACAAUUUAAAGCCCAUUUGUCCAUAAGAUGCUUCACUCAAAUGAACAGUCAUGCAUCGCAUAACAACAUUUUUGGUUAAUGAUGGGUCACAUAUACAAUGGUGGUCCCAUAAGAUUAGCACCAUGUAGCCUAGGUGUGCAGGAGGCCAUACCAUCUACGUUGGUAUAAGUACACUCUGUGAUGUUCUCACAACGACACCGCCUAACAACGCAUCUCUCAGAACAUAUCCUCAUCGUUAAGUGACUCAUGGCUCUACCUAAUUUCAUAUACUCUUGUUCUGAAAGGUCAAGAAACCAACAUUAACCAUGGACAGUGGGGUUUCCUAACAUCUUUACAGAGCCCUGGCUUGUUUCACUAGAAAUUGGAGUUGUAGAAUUUUAGGUUUAGAUUUGCAAAAUUAUUUUCUUCAAAGUUUGAUAUGUACAGCUUGGAAACACUGCCUCAAUGGAUUGUGGCUCUUGAUUUGUGACUUCCUGGUCUAAAUAGUCCAAUACUCAUGCUUAACUGAAUCUCAGUUUCUAGAACAAGGGUUGGAAAACUAUGACUCACAAGUCAAAUCUGGCCCACAGCCUACUUUUAAAAACAGAGCUUUACUGGAACAUAUCCAUGCUCAUAUCCUCUGCUGAGAAGGGGCAGCUUGGAGCAUCAGUUAAAUUUGGCAACCUGUCUUCCCACUUUGGAAUCUGCCUGCUUAUAUUGGAGUAGUAGUUUUCAACCCGACUCUCCAUAAGCUGGUUUCGGGUCUUGCUUCCACAGCCCCCAGGUCAGUUCCAUCGCAUCCAAGUCCUAGGACCCCACCUGGAUAUUCCUCCCUGGGCCCUUGCAGAGCACAGGGCUGACUCCAGGGCUGCUUAACAAAAACAUCACAACAGGCAAUUUGCCAUUUAUAAUCUUUGUUCUCUGCUCUUAUGGAACUAACUGCUUCUGCUAACCCUUCAGCUCGUCUCUGUCUCUCAGUGUCCAAGCUCUUCUAUUGGACAAGCAGGGCACGGAGGGAAAUUUUUACGUCCCUUAUGCCCGACUUGGAAUUUCUAAAAGAAUGGACCCUCUUCCAGGAGAGAGAGGGGCAGUUCCAAAAGCAGCAGCCAGGGGUCUGCCUCCAGGGCAGAGAGGUUUUUACCAGAACUGGCAGCCCUGGUGGCACUUGGCUGGUGUCACGGGCCAUCAGACAGGGGCACCUCUACCUGAGGCAGCCAAGACCGAGGGCCCCAGUGCUCACCAAACAGUCAGGGGCUGGACUUAAUGCAAACUGAAUUCAGGGGAGGAUUCUGAACCCACAGCAAAGCUAGAGGGAACAACGUGUAGUUCCAAGACAGCUCUUAGGAACUGAGGGCCUGUAAGUGUCUUGGUUGGCUGUGCUUCGAGGAGUGAUUGACAUUUCAUGGGAGUCUUGACCCAUAAAGCCAUGAACUCUCAGCCAAAUGUGUGGAAGUGAGGUGUACUUGGGAAGGUCUCAGGAGACAAGGGGGAGCAGAAGCAGGAGCCCUGAGGGUCCUCCAGGAUUCCAGACCCAGCUGACCCCUAACCUCUGCCAUGGCAGACAGCCGAGGCCCAGGGAUGGGACGGUGAUUGAGGAAGAAGCAGAUGAGGCUGGAGAUUGGGGGCAGGAGCUAGCCCACAGUUAUUGCUGCCUUUAAGGCAAAGACCACAGGGAAAGCUCCCCCACUCAGUGAGACACUCAGAGGCUUCUCUGGAUCCAAGAAAAGUUCUGCUGGGCCCCUGGUAGGAGAGGGGAGGAGGAGGGAUGGGCACAGUGCCCAGGAGGGAGGAGAGAACUUAGCUCAGUACUCUGUGACUGCUGGCUGAUCCUCAGAGACCCUGAGGAGUGUCUUACCCACAGAGCCAGGCACAGUUUGUGUUGGGUAGAGCCCAGUGUCCCCCUUCUUCGAGGGGACACAAGGACUUAUUAGGAAGACACUGAGGAAGAAUAACAUUUUGGAAAUAAUAACAAUGCUAGGUUCCUCAGGCAAAAUAUCACCGUUUAUAGAGGGAGGGAUUUCACCCCACAGGUAGUUGAGGGGACAAUGGUGAGGGAAAAAGGAGAAGCAAGAACACUGGCUCUGCCACAAUUUCUGGGGGAGAGGCAAGCAAGACGCCAACAAGAUGCCAGAGAGGGACCAUCUGUAUGACAGGUGGCAGGGCCACAGACAACACCUCCCAGGACACUGAAGAAGCCGAAUGAUUCCUGGGUGCUCAAGCCAGAGUCAGAGAAUCUGAGGUGGUCAAGAUGGCUGAUGGGCCAGAAAGGACAAGGGCCUUCGUAGUGGGGACACACACGAACUGAAGAAUGUGGACAAGACAGACAAUAGACACCUCAGGGGACACCUGUGAGCACAGGUGACUCAGGGCCAGAUGGGGUCUUCCCUAAAGCCUUGGCAUCACACAACUGCUCUGGAAUUUAGCCACAAAGUCCAGGAAAGGGGUGAACAUCCACCAUCCCAGUAGAAUGGAGGUUCAGCAUAAAAAUUAACUUACUUUGUCCACCUGCACUUUUUGAUUGAACUUCCUACCUGUUGUGGAUGCCUUAAGGAGAAAGGAGGGUCACCCUCUGCAUCACCAGAAAAUUUCUCCAGGAGCAGCAACUCUGGUUGCAUGGGCCUUGGAUGAAACAGAUUCAGUGUUUGUCCUCCCCACAUGCCACCUCCAUCAAAUGCUCAAAUCAGGGACCAGUUAUCAUGGAGGGUGGCCCUUCGUUACACUAUCUACAAUGUUGUACUUCCACCAGUGCUGUCCUGGCACUGGGCUCCAUCGCAGCUCCUCUGCUAUCCAGGGGUUGACUGCAGUGGAGUCGGUGGGAGCCCAGGUCUGAGGACCCUCCCACUCCUGCAUGUCCUCCCCACUCUAGUGUAAGCACCGGCUCCUGUUAGUGAACCAGCUGCAGCUGGGUGAGGGGGGAGCCUAGGGCCGGAGACCUUCUGAGAUCUAUGCUAUAGACUGAAUGUGUGUGUCCCACCAGAUUCAUAUGUUAAAUCCUAAUGCCCAAUGUGAUGCUAUUUGGAGGUGGGGCCUUUGGGAGGUGAUUAGGUCAUGAGGGUGGAGCCCUCCUAAGUGGAAUUAAUACCCUUACAAAAGAGACCCCAGAGAGCUCCCUCGCUCCUUCUGCCAUAUGAGGAAACAGCAAGAAAGUCUAUGAACCAGGAAACAGGUCCUCACCAGACAGUGAACCUGUCAACACCUUAAUCUUGGACUUCUGAGCCUCCAGAACUGUGAGAAAUAAAUGUUUACUGUUAAAGCCACUUGACCCAAGGCAUUUUUAUCAUAACAGUACAAACAGAUUAAGACAAUCUAGAAUGUGUGGAAUUCUGCUUGACUAGAUUUAUAAGAAAUGAAUAAUGGUUUUGGCCUCUGCUCUUUUGUUUGCUCAAUUCCUCUCAAUAGGAGUGUGACCUAAAUACUUCUUGCACGCAGUAUCCAUCUUCUCUUUGAUCACUUUUAACAGGGCUGAGAGGCAAUGGAGCUUGGCCUACAUAUUAAGGACGCUUCUCCUCAGGAGCACACAAGGUGGCCAUCAUGGGUAGUUUCUCAGCUCUGACCAAGACCCACGUGUCCUCAGGCCUUCACUGAAUGCCAGCCUGACAAGACGUUCAAAGGUUAAUCAGGGUCCACUAGUGUAAACAUCCCUUCCCCCUUUAUUGCCUCCACCUUCUUGCAGAGAAAUGUCCUCUCUGGGAAGUAGGAUUCUAGAUUAUGAAAGCCGGAGGGAACUGGAGAGGACACUAAGGCCCAGAGAAGGAGGACAGCUGCUCGCUCCACGCUCCUCCUCUCAGUGAACGACACCGACAUCCACCAAACGCCCAAGCCGGAGCUUGGUCCACCACAUGCAGUCCUUCCCAAGCUCUGCCAAGUUCACCUCCUAAAUAUGUCUCGAGUGUGCAGUUCUCUCUAAUAGUAGCAAAUCUGUUAACUUCAUCUAAGCCAACGUCAUGGCUCCUCUUUCAGUUCUGCAUCAGCUUCCUUAGGAUUGUAUGCACAGCAGUCUGGAUAAACUCUUAAACAUAAGUCUAGUCAUGUCAUUGUACUUUUUAAACUCUUCCAGAUUCAACCAUGCCCGGAGGACACAGUAAAACUAAUCCUUAGCAAGGCCUACGAUGUCCUUCACGGUUUGGUUCCUCUGAGCCCCACUGCUCACCAGUCCUGAUCACACAGUGUCUGGCACACACAGUAGGACUCCAGGAAUAGCAGGAAGAUUGAAUCAAACUAUCCAAGCUCAUUCAGCAUGUCUCAGUCAUGAACUUGUGACUCUGAACUCUUGGGCCAGGUCUUUGUGCAGAAAGAGGUGGACUUCAAUACCUUCCCUUCCACUGUCAAAGAUUCUGCCCACAAAACAACAGGGGAUGUCUAGAGAGUGCAGGGUGGGUUCUGGCCUCCUCUGCCUGAGCCCAGGGUUGACAACACAAGGCUCACCACUUGCUGGUCAGACCCCGAAGGCAGAAGAUGCUGCUGUCAUUGCCACACGGGGCACACGGAGAGGCACGAGGGUCAGACAGGAGGAAGAGGGAGCAAGGGGAAAGCACUGGCAAAAGCAUUUACUGGGGUUUCUGCAGGGAGGGAUGAGCAACGCAGGGUAAGUAGCUGGCCAGGCUGAGGACUGGUGAGUUUGAACAAUUCUGGAAGGCUCUGGGGCUUAGCUGUGUCCCUAGUUGUCAGGUAUGCAGCUCUGGGAUGAUCAGGGCAGGGGGACAGUGACUUGGCCAGAUAAAGGAGGUAGUUGAAGGUAUGGGCUCUGGAUUGGUUGGUUUGCGUGGAACAGGCACCCUCACAGGGAAGUCAUUUGCUCCCUCUGGGAACUGGCCAGCCCUGGGAGAAGCCUUCUUCCCCUGCUCAGCAAGCCCCAAAUGCCAGAGCACCAGGAAUCCAGAAAAUAAGAAAAUAUCGUUAACGCAAGGCUCGGUAGAGAGGGUUUGAGUUUCUCACGAGCUCACUGCUCUCCAGAGCAGCUACUCAGGGGCCUUCCCUUUGCCAUCAUCCCUUUUGCAAGGACCUCAAAAGUCCCUUCUUCCAAAAAAGGAGUCCAUGGAAAAAGGCAAAGGAAGACUUCUGGGAGAGAGGUGAGUGUUAAAUAAAACCUUUCUUCACAAUUGGUUCUAAAUAAGCUUUGCAGCUUGGCAGAAAAAAGAAACGUCAGAGCUGAGAAAGAAGGGAGAGAGGGUGCCAGAGAUCUCAGAGGAAAGUGGGUGCAAAUAGCUUAGCGCUCAGGAGGGUCACUUGGCUUUUGGUCUGGGCAUCAACGGGACCAUCGCAAAGGCCCGUCCUCACUGACGUCUCCUUCCCUCCCUUAGAUCUGCUCUGCGUUGAAUCGAGGUGUGCAGAAGGCUGGGAAGGGGGAUACAGCUGCGAGUAUCAAAGCAGCAGCACAGUCAGGCUUGGAAACUUGGGUUUGUGGAGAGGGAAGAUAGCGAGGAUUGCACAAACAGCCCUGCAAACUAUGAACAGGAGAGGGGGGAGUGCACGGGAGAACUUCCGGUCAGGGCAACUGAAAAGUGAGGUGGACAGAACCUUCCCACGCUGAACUCGGAGGUCUAGUCAGUCCAGUAUCCCAUGGAAGUUUCUUUGAAGGAAACUUGUGCACGUCUGCUUAAGUUUACACACCCUCCUCUUGAUACUGUCUUGUUUUUGGUUUGGGUUUCUUUUCUUUCCCAGGGUAUUGAAAGUGCUAGAGUUAGACCUUUAUCUGCUCUGCAUCUGAUGUUCUGGAGAGGUCUGAAAGCCCCUCGGCUGCUGCAGGAGAUGUGAAUGAAUUUCCUGAGCAAGUCCACUCUCUGGACCAACAGUCUAAAGAAUUUUGGGGGUUUUCUCAGAAUCCUAAGACCGAGUCUGAGAGCCCUGGGCCACCAGGUCAAGCACACUUCUUCUAAGACAGCCUGGUAAAAGUGACUUCACUGGCCAGGACACCCUCAUUGGCCAGAGGGGAUUCAGUGGGUGCUGUGCGUGAGUGUUGGGAGGGUGGGGAAGGGGGAGAAGGAUAAACUUGAAAUGGUGGAGCGGGGCAGGUGGAAAUCCAAAGGCAUCAUUAAUAUUAGGUAUUUUUUUGUGGUCAUGUUAACUUUUAGGCUUAAAGCACACUCCCUAAGUAGAAGUGAUGGCUUAGGAGCCUUGGGAAUUAGAAGUAACUGUCUUGGCAUAAAAUGAUCAAGUCACAAGCAGAAGCAUAGGAAGAAGCCAGGACCCAGGCCAGGACAACCUGACUGAGCUGUGACUCAGGUCUCAUCUUCCCUCCUGUCUCGGAAGUGGCAGCCACCAUCCUUCAUACAGUGUCCCUCCCCUGGCGAAGUCCUGACCCCGUUACCUCCUGAACCCAAAGUCAGUUGCUGUAAUGCAACAGAGCAUCCUCCUUCUGAGCAGUGAAGGAUGAGCAGCCAGCACUCAGAGCUGUCACUAAGCCUCCAAUAAUUAGCUUAAAAUAUGCUCCCAGACCGAUCACCACUCUGGGAAUCCAGAUAGGACACCUUAGAGAAUAAAGGAGAUGACUCGAAUCUGAGAAAAAUGAUUUUUGAAGGGAAUAAAAUAAUGUCCUGUGGGGAGGGCUGCCGUUUAUGCUGGAUCUUGUUCAACCUGGGACAGCUUCAUGGAGGAAGGAGGCUGGAGGGAAUAGGAGGGAGGCUGUGAACUGAAAGAACUGGAGGUGGGGUGGUGCUGAGGGCUCAGAGAGGUUAAACUCUGCUCUCUCUGCUGGAUCCCCCCAUGAGUCCCCACUGAAGUGGCUCAGGUUGCCAUUCAAAGGAUGGUUCUGUGGGGUGAAACCUGUCGUGGUCCAGUGGGUGGCACUUUUGUUGAUUUUACUCUUGAUGACACACUUUCUCCCACAAUCGUUUCCUGGCAUAGAGACAGGGGAGGUGCUUCACUGACCUGCAAGCCUGGCCAAUGGAAGAUGAAACUGAUCUACGUGCCAGUUUGGGGGUGAUGGGAGCUGUAGAAUGACUUCAGUGGGAUCAUUUGGGAUGUUCUGUACUAGAAUCACUCCUGGGGUUUUCUGCAGAGAAAUAUGUUUUCUGCAACUUUGGAGGCUUGUUCUUUUUGGCGUUAGUUCUCUUAAUUCUGGCCAGCCCCUCUGGGUUACUCCAAACAGCCCCAGUGUCCAGGCUGCUGCCCUUUCCCUUUCAGCUCCCACAUCAUUAAGAUAGGCUCAGGCCACUCUUUGGGCUCUGGGGUGACCUUCUUGGUGCUGAGUGGGAUGUCAGCUAACAGGCAGUGCAGCGUUGGCCUGUCCCUGGGGGAUGGUGCUGCAGUCUGGAGCCCCUGAGGGUGAGCGUGCAGCACAGCAACACGUUGUGGGCUCCCCUCCAUGCAAGUGAGCCAUGUGUGGGGCUUUGCCCUCAGCUCUCUCAGUUUUUGUCCCAGUCACUCCUCAGGAUGGCUUCCACAGAGCAGUGAGUGCCUCUGUCUCAGUAGUGCCAUUAUCCAUUCUUCGCCGUGUCGUUCCUUUGGGAGAAGGUGCCAAGGAGCAGCUCUGCAGCUGCCUGUGCUGUGUAAGUACCUUGGAUCUGUGAAGCUGAAAGCCCUAAAGUGUGGGCACACUGAGCACACACCGGCCCGUGCUGACCAUGUGGGUGGAUGGGCCCAGGGAAGGGAGGGGAACUGGGCCUCAGCACUCCUUCUUGGAAGAGGUCAUCCCCACCUCCAAGCUCAGAGGUUUGAGAGGAUGCUGCAUGUAUGACAGGAAGCACUGGGGCUGGGACAGUCCUGGCUGCAGGAAACAGCUUCAAGCAGAGAGUUCUGUCACAGAGCUUCCCUCCACCCUAACCUUACCACCGAGGUCAAGUGGGGUUGCUGCAUGGUGAACAGCACACGAAGACUAUAACCCUUGACUGGGCCCCCAACCAGCAUUCUCCAGGCUGACCCACACAAUUCCCUCCCUUGUUCCCUAGUUGGGGCAUAGGGAGGGGCCUCCUUUGCUUUAUCGCCUUGCAGCCUGCCAGAGCUUGUGUGAUAGAGAACAAGGGUAGCAGUGAUGCCCAGUGGAGAAAUAGACACCAGCUCUCCUCUCCCUAGAGACAGGCAUUCACUCUCCCUCUGCUUCGCCAGAAUUCUGAACAGAUCCCAUCUUCCUGGGCCUGGGCUUGAGUGCUGUCCACGGUUCUGACAUCCUAGGGUUGGGGGAAGGACAAGCUGGACUGGAGAGCAAUGGAAGGGCCUGACAUCUGACGUCUGCUGUCUCAGGGGCCUCAAGGCCACAGUUCACACAGUCGCCAAUCACACGUGACUUCCCAGCCCUCUAAUGCUGUUUUCCUGAGCCCAGCUCCAAGUCUUGGCCUUUGUCAAA